UACGGAGGGUGCAAGCGUUAUCCGGAUUCACUGGGUUUAAAGGGUGCGUAGGCGGGCAGGUAAGUCCGUGGUGAAAUCUCUGAGCUUAACUCAGAAACUGCCAUGGAUACUAUUUGUCUUGAAUAUUGUGGAGGUAAGCGGAAUAUGUCAUGUAGCGGUGAAAUGCUUAGAUAUGACAUAGAACACCAAUUGCGAAGGCAGCUUACUACACAGUUAUUGACGCUGAGGCACGAAAGCGUGAGGAUCAAACAGG
rnacentral:rRNA from 1 species